rnacentral:tRNA from 13 species
GGGUGGCCUAGUUGGUAGCGUGUCUGCUUGAAACGUGGGUUGCCUGAGAUCAAGCCCCGGCA